GUGGGUAUAGCUCAGGGGUAGAGUGUGCGCCUAGCAUGUGUGAGUUUCUGGGUUCAAUCCCCAGUAACUCCA
rnacentral:tRNA from 1 species